ACAUCUUUAAAUGGUGGAAAGAAAAAAGUGUUAAACUGGAAUAGUAUAUUCAGUAAAAUAGUCUUUUAAAAUAAUGGUUAUAUAAAGACACCUUCCGAUAAAUACUGUCGGAGAGAAUGUAACCAGCAGACCUGCACACUGGAAGAGUUAAAAGAACUUCUUUAGGCAAUUGGGGAAUGAAACUAGCCAAAAAUUUUGAUACAUACAAAAUAAAGUUCACCACGUAAAUGAUAAAUGUUUAGUAAAAUAUACAAUGUUUUCCCUUAAGUGUAUAAAAAGGCAAUUGAGACUAGGCGCGGUGGCUCACACCUGUAAUCCCAGCACUUUGGGGGACUGAGGCGGUGGGUCGCCUGAGGGUAGGAAUUCAAAACCAUCCUGGGCAACAUGGUAAAACCCCAUCUCUACAAAAAUACAAAAAUUAGCCGGGCGUGGUGGCGCAUGCCUGUAAUCCCAGCUACUCAGGAGGCCAAGGCAGAAGAAUCACUUGACUGAGGUGGAGGUUGCAGUGAGCCGAGAUCGCACCAUUGCACUGCAGCCUGGGAGCAAGACUCUGUCUCAAAAAAAAAAAGAGAAAAAGAAAAAGGCAAUUGACUCUUUAAAAUGAAAAUAAUGCAUUGCUGCGUUUAUCAUUAAAUUAUUUGGUAAUAUCGCAAAGGACAGAAAGGGGUAAAUAGAAGUAUACUGUUGUAAGAUUGUAUUGUAGGUGCAAUGGCAUAGUAUUAAUUCAGUUAAUAUAGAUUGCGACCCAUAGAACCGUAAGUGAGUUAAAAUGCAGUAAUUUUUUUUAAAUGGCUAACCCAUAACGCAGGAAAGGAGGAAACAAAAAAAUGGGUACAACAAAUAGAAUAAAAUAGCAAAGUGAUUACAUAAAUUCAACCAAAUUAGUAAUUAAUGUUAAAUGUAAGUUCACUAAACAUUCCAACUAAAACUCAGAUGUUAAUCAGUUUUUAAUGAAGAUUAUCUGCUGCCUUGAAAAUAUGUAUUUUAUAUAUAAAGACAUGGAUAGAGUACAUGUAAAAUGAUAGAGAAAAAAGAUCCUAUGUAAACAGUAAUAAGAAACUGGAGUGGCUGUAUUAACAUCAGACAAAAUGAUGCCAAGACAAGGAGUAUUACCAGAUGUAGUAGUUGGGGUCCAGUUAGGAGACAAAAACCACCAUUUAAACAAGGAAAUUUUAAUGUAAGAAAUGAUUAGAAUAAUGGCAAAUUGACUAGUGAAAGUUAAGAUAAUUUUAACAAAUAAAAGACUAGCAGGUAUCAGGAGCAACCGUUAUGGCUAAGACUGAGAUAGAGCUCCCAAUAUAGAGCUUUCCCCCUACUAGGGCUGAAAUCCAGAUGUCUUUGGAAAGGGCACACCUUUGAUUCACUGGAUAGUGGAGAAGUCACUAAGGUGCCUCGUAAGUGGGAGCAUAAGUGGGAGUUGCUAGAAGUUUCUGGGGUGCCAGGGGGGCCAUCCACAGAAAAGUGGAGUCUUAAAUCAUCAGAGUGAACUCCCUGAGUGUCAGAGGGAGCUGGUGGUGGCUGGGCACUGCUGGAACCGAAAUCUGGAGAAGCAGCCCUCUAGGAGCCCAGCAUGCCUGCAGGACGGCCCUGGGAUUCUAGGACUGAAAAGAUGUGGGGAGCAGUGACUUGGUUUGGUGUGCAGGCCCAUACCAUCUGGGAAAUCCCGGAUAAUCUCCAGCUGAACACUUGAGAAAAUUGCAGCCUGCAGCAUGGGAGAAACCACACAGGGAAUAAGCAUGCAGGGGAGGGUGGAGUGUGCCCUACAACAGCCUAGAGAGUGAAUCAUACCAGAACCAGGAAAGGAAAAUCCCUUCCUCCUCCAGCGUCCUCCAGAACCCUCUACUGACAAGGUUUAACACUCGGCUAGCUAGCAAAGGAGAAAUAUUUCCAAAAUCCAUCUUCAUUUAUUACAAAGUAGGCCAAAAUAUGGUGAAUUUGGAGCUAAGAGGAAAUACAUCAAUAAACAGCAUAGUCUGCCCCUUUGAGUACUCACUGUCCAUAUAUACCUUCUACGCACACUUGAAUGCCAUACAAUAAUAACUCUACAUUUCACCUAACAGGAUACUCAUCAUCUCCAAAAUGAGGAGAUGCAACAAUCAUUGCAUACAGUGCUGUGGCUAUAUUAAUUGCCCUUUAGAAUCAUCACAGUUCCACUGGAUAGUCUGUUGCCCAAAGACUAAUUGUGAAUUUAACCUCUAGCAACUUGCAUAUAAAAUUUUUGUUAAUAGAAGGGAGCAAGAAGAGGAAAAUGUGAGCAUAUAUACAUAAGUACAUACACAUGAAAAGCAAAAAAGGAAAUAUUCAAAAUGACUACAGCCCUUUUUUCUGCAGUUGGUCACAAGGCCCUAAUUUUUACUUAUGGCUUCCUUCUUCUACUGUUCAUUGAUUUCGCCCACCUCCAGCCAGAACCUGGUAGAGUAAUUCAAACUCUCAUUCCUGAAAGUUCCAAGUCCUCAAUUAUCCUGCCUUUUAUUUUGGUUUCUGUACUUUUCUACUACACUUUUCUAUUGCAUAUGGAGUACUAAUAUACACCCCAAACUGUCUCCUGGGUUACAGACAUAGUCUUCCUUGCCCCUAAUGUAUAAAGGCAACCCAGUUUCCUCUUGGCAAUAGGGAUCAGUCACUCCACCUAGUAGAGCAAUCCACCUUUCUGCCUGUUGAUUCAGUAGCAUGAGGAGUCCAGAAUAGCCAAAUGGAAAUCUUUCUCCAAUUCAGUGGAACCAUUGUGUCUCAUGGUGGAAACCAUGUUCCCUUUAAGAACUCAGAUCUCUGAAAUGGCAGAGCUCAAAGAUGCCAGAAGCAGCAGCAAAUAUUCUGCAAGUGUGUUAUUAGGUGUUGCUACGGUCUGAAUGUUGGUGACCUCCCAAAAUUUAUAUGUUGAAAUCUAAUCACAAACGUAAUAGUAUUAAGAAAUGGGGCCUUUAGGAAGUGAUUAAGUCAUGAGAGUGGAACCCUCAUAAAUGAGAUUAGUGCCUUGGUAAAAGAGGUGCAAGGGAACUGUUCACCCCUUCCUCCAGGUGAAGAGCCACAAGAAGAUGCCAUAUUGGAAGCAGAAAGCAAGCCCUCGCCAGGCACUGAAUCUGCUUGAUCUGGGACUUCCCAGCAUCUAGAACUAGAAACAGAACCAAUGGGAUGUACAUAAAGAGAUUUAUUGUAAGAAAUCGGCACAUGUGAUUAUGGAGGCUGACAAAUCCCAAGAUCUGCAGGGGGAGGUGGCAAGCUGGAGACUCAGGUGAGCAGACGUUGUAUUUCUUAUUUCAAUCCUAAAGCCUGAGAACCAGGAGAGCCAAUGGUGUAAUUCUAGUCCAAAGGCUGGCAGGCUUAAGAUCUAGGAAGAGCUCAUGUUUCAACUUGAAAGCAGAUGGGCAGAAGGAAUUGUCUUACUCAGAAGAAAGUCAGCCUUUUGUUUGUUUGUUUGUUUGUUUGUUUGUUUGAGACAGAGCCUCACUCUGUCACUCAGGCUGGAGUGCGGUGGCAUGAUCUCUGCUCCCUGCAAGCUCCACCUCCCAGGUUCAUACCAUUCUCCUGCCUCAGCCUCCCGAGUAGGUGGGACUACAGGUGCCCACCACCACACCUGGCUAAUUUUUUUAUUUUUUAGUAGAGACGGGGUUUCACCAUGUUAGCCAGGAUGGUCUCAAUCUCCUGACCUCGUGAUCCGCCCGCCUUGGCCUCCCAAAUUGCUGGGAUCAUAGGCGUGAGCCACCACACUGGCCGAAAGUCAGCCUUUUUGUUCUCUUCAGACUUUCAAAUGAUUGGAUGUGGCCUGCCCACAUCAGGGAUAGCAAUCUGCUUUAGUCUACUGAUUUAAAUGUUAAACUCCUCCAAAAACACCCUCACAGACACACCCAGAAUAACAUUUGUCAAGUAUCUGGGCACCAAAUGGCCCAGUCAGGUUGACACAUGACGUUAACCAUCACAACACCUUUAUACUAUACCAUUUCAUUCAGUGAUAAUUAUUUGAGUUCAGUUGUAUAUUCUACUUACAAGUCAAGAUUUAUGGGUUUCAUUAUCCAGGUCAUGCCUGCUUCUUACAAUUAUGGUCUUUCCUAUAAUAUGCAUACCUAUUGUUGCUUUUAAGAAUGGACAUUUGGCCAGGCGCAGUGGCUCAUGCCUGUAAUCCCAGCACUUUGAAAGGCCAGGGCAGGUGGACCACAAGGUCAGGAGUUUGAGACCAGCCUGGCCAAGAUGGUGAAACCCCAUCCCUACUAGAAAUACCAAAAUUAGCCAGGUGUGAUGGUGGGCAGGAGUAGUCCCGCUACUCGGGAGGCUGAGGCAGGAGAAUUGCUUGAACCUGGGAGGUGGAACUUGUAGUGAGCUGAGAUUGCGCCACUGCACUCCAGCCUGGGCAGCAGAGCAAGACUGUCUCAAAAAAAAAAAAAAUGGACAUUUUUCCGUUAGAUUUUCUAUCUGAUUUUUGUUGGUAUACAGAGAAGCAACUGAUUUUAUUUGUUCAGCACUUAACUGAACUCUUGGUAGUACUGAAAGUUUUUCAAUUGAUUCUCUUAGGUUUUCUGGUGGGCAGUCAUAUUACAUGCAAACUAAGGCAAAUGUGUCUUUGCCCUAUCUACAUUAUUGCUUCUAUUUCUAUCUUCUGUAUUAUUGCAUUGAUCAUAGCCUCCAGAAGAGUGUAAAAUACUAAUAGAGGCAGCAGAAAUCUUUCGAAUUCCCAUUUUAAUAGGAUGAUCUCUGUAAUUGUUCAAAUUAACAUUUUGCUGUUGAUCAGAAGAAAGUAUCCUUUAUUUCCUGAAUUUGGAAGAAAAAGGAUUGAGUGUUGAAUCAUCUCAAAUGCCUUUCAGUAGUCACUGAUAAAUCGGUUAUAUCAUUUUUCCAACUUGACCUCCAGAUGUAAUAUAUCUUUUUAUAGGCUUCCUAUAUUAAAUUAUUCUACAUUAGUGUAAUAAACUCAAAUAGAUCAUUCUUUUCAUUUUCUGAUCUUGGACAAGUUGACUUCUCUAUGUUAGCUUCUUCAUCUAUAAAGUAGAGCUAAAAAUUGUACUUACUCCAUGUUAUAGGACAUAGUUGAGAUAAUUCACAUAAAGUAAAUUCAUGGAAAAUACCUAGCACAAUCUCCAACACAACUCCUAGGGUAUGUUCAGCUAGUAUCAUCAUCAUGGUUAUUAACCAGUAGGCUGGAAUAUGGUUACAGCAGGGAAAAUUAUAUUUCCCUAAGAGUUUUCUUAUAUUCAUGAGAGGGACAUUUCUCAUAUAUUUUUAAAGGAAAUAAAGUAGGUAUUUUUAGAUUUCUAUGUAUGAAUCACGGACAGCAACAAUAAAAAAGUUAUUUUUCAUUAUUUUAUUGUAAAGCGAUGUUGUUUGCUUAUACCUAUCUCCUUGGGUUAAAUACGAAGUCCCUUGCACAGUUGGGUUGGGUUCAUGGCCUUGUGACCACCGCAGUUGCACAAAGACCCAUGUCAGAAGGGCUCCACAUAUGGGUUUUAAUCCUCCGCUGUCACCCUUUUGAAAUUCUUAACAAUUUUUAAGUCACUGGGAAAAUGGAGCUUGUGGAGGGGAUUAGAGCCUCUGCUCACUCAUGGCUCUGCUUCCCAUUCCAUCCCCACCUUCCUAGGAUUCUUGGCUACCCUCUGUCUUGCCAAGGGCCUCACCCUCCCCACCCUGUCCAGCUACUGCUGCCAGUCUUCAUCCCCCAACAGCGGCCUGGGUGCAGGUAUAGAUAGGAGUUGGGCAGGGCAUACGUGACCCAGAAAGUCUUCAGGCAGAGCAUGGUGGAAGCCAUUCUACCCUAGGCUGGCAGUGCCGUGGUGCAGAGGCUGUAGCCAACUGGGGACCACAACUCAGGGGAGAUAAACCUUUUUUUUUUUUUUUUGAGACGGAGUCUCUCUCUGUUGCCAGGCUGGAGUGCAAUGGCGUGAUCUCAGCUCACUGCAACCUCCACCUCCUGGGUUCAAGUGAUUCUCCUGCCUCAGCCUCCCAAGUAGCUGGAACUACAGGUGCACGCCACCACGCCCAGCUAAUUUUUGUAUUUUUAGUAGAAACGGGGUUUCACCAUGUUGGCCAGGAUGGUCUUCAUCUCUUGACCUCAUGAUCGGCCUCCCAAAGUGCUGGGAUUACAGGCGUGAGCCACCACUCCCGUCCAAACCUUUCUUUCACUUAUCUUCAAUCCAAGUACGUAAAGGCUUCUAGCCCAAAGGUUGCAAUAUCCUUGGGGUUGCCUAUGUACCCCUAUCUAAGUUUGGCUUAUCAGUGCCAUGAGGUAUGAAUUAUGUAAUUUCAGUGAUUCUACAUAGGAGUUAAAUGUUCUAUUUGCAUUUAAAACUGGCAUUGCCCAAUAUAAGCAGUAAACAUCAUACUAAUUUUUUUUCUCCCAGUGGCUGUGAGAACAUCAUAUUAAUAAUUUUUUUAAAUUUUAUUUACUUAGAAUGAUAUUAAAUAGCACAUAAAAACACUACGACAAGUUGAGA
rnacentral:lncRNA from 1 species